GACAGAAGGUGCAAGCGUUACUCGGAAUUACUGGGCGUAAAGCGUCUGUAGGUUUCUUGCCACGUCUGGCGUAAAAUUUCAGUGCUCAACACUGAAUACGUGCCGGAUACGAGCGAGAUAGAGUCAUUCGGAGGCAUCUGGAAUGUCGUGUGUAGGGGUAAAAUCCGUAGAUACACGAUGGAACGCCAAAAGCGAAGGCAGGAUGCUGGGAAUGCACUGACACUCAGAGACGAAAGCGUGGGGAGCAAAGGGG
rnacentral:rRNA from 1 species